AACGGCUCCACAUCCAAGGAAGGCAGCAGGCACGCAAAUUACCCACUCCCGGAACGGGGAGGUAGNGACAAAAAAUAACGAUACGGGACUCGAUAUGAGGCCUCGUAAUCGGAAUGAGUACACUCUAAAUCCUUUAACAAAAAUCUAUUGGAGGGCAAGUCUGGUGCCAGCAGCCGCGGUAAUUCCAGCUCCAAUAGCGUAUAUUAAAGUUGUUGCGGUUAAAAAGCUCGUAGUUGGUUCUGCGUCCCGCGCUGUCGGUACACCGUUUGUCGGUGACACUGGCAUGACGCGGGAUGUCCUGUCGGUGGCGGCGGAGACCAUAUCGCCGUCGGCUAACACCGCGGCGUGUUGGCCUUCUGUCGCCGGCUUUAUCCUACCGCGGUGCUCUUCACUGAGUGUCGAGGUAGGCCGACACGUUUACUUUGAACAAAUUAGAGUGCUUAAAGCAGGCAAAAAUCUCUGCCAGAAUAGUGGUGCAUGGAAUAAUGGAACAGGACCUUGGUUCUAUUCUGUUGGUCUCCGGAACACAAGGUAAUGAUCAAUGUGGACAGGCGGGGGCAUUCGUAUUGCGGCGUUAGACUUGGCAAAUGCUUUCGCGGUGAAAUUCUUGGAUCGUCGCAAGACGCACUAGAGCGAAAGCAAUUGCCAAGUAUGUCUUAAUUGAUCAAGAACGAAAGUUAGAGGUUCGAAGGCGAUCAGAUACCGCCCUAGUUCUAACCAUAAACGAUGCCAGCCAGCGAUCCGCCGAUGUUCCUUUGAUGACUCGGCGGGGAGCUUUCCCCGGGAAACCAAAGCUUUUGGGUUCCGGGGGAAGUAUGGUUGCAAAGCUGANNCUUAAAGGAAUUGACGGAAGGGCACCACCAGAAGUGGAGCCUGCGGCUUAAUUUGACUCAACACGGGAAACCUCACCAGGUCAGGACAUUGGAAUGAUUGACAGAUUGAUAGCUCUUUCUUGAUUCAGUGGGUAGUGGUGCAUGGCCGUUCUUAGUUGGUGGAUCGAUUUGUCUGGUUAAUUCCGAUAACGAACGAGACUCUAGCCUAUUAACUAGACGCGUUUGGUAUCGAAUCUACCGGCGAACUAUAUUCUUCUUAAGGGGACAGGCGGCUUUUAGCCGCACGAGAUUGAGCAAUAACAGGUCUGUGAUGCCCUUAGAUGUCCUGGGCCGCACGCGCGCUACACUGAAGGAAUCAGCGUGUGCGUUCCCUUGGCCGAAAGGUCCGGGUAACCCGCUGAACCUCCUUCGUGCUAGGAAUUGGGGCUUGCAAUUGUUCCCCAUGAACGAGGAAUUCCCAGUAAGCGCGAGUCAUAAGCUCGCGUUGAUUACGUCCCUGCCCUUUGUACACACCGCCCGUCGCUACUACCGAUUGAAUGAUUUAGUGAGGUCUUCGGACUGGCGGUAAGCCCAACCGACUCGUCGGUUUUGUCGAACGCUGGAAAGAUGACCAAACUUGAUCAUUUAGAGGAAGUAAAAGUCGUAACAAGGUUUCC
rnacentral:rRNA from 1 species